rnacentral:rRNA from 1 species
AACGAACGCUGGCGGCAGGCCUAACACAUGCAAGUCGAACGCUCCGCAAGGGGAGUGGCGCACGGGUGAGUAACACGUGGGAACCUACCUUCUGGUACGGAACAACCAAGGGAAACUUUGGCUAAGACCGUAUACGACCUCCGGGUGAAAGAUUGAUCGCCGGAAGAGGGGCCCGCGUCCGAUUAGGUAGUUGGUGAGGUAACGGCUCACCAAGCCUUCGAUCGGUAGCUGGUCUGAGAGGAUGACCAGCCACACUGGGACUGAGACACGGCCCAGACUCCUACGGGAGGCAGCAGUGGGGAAUAUUGGACAAUGGGCGCAAGCCUGAUCCAGCCAUGCCGCGUGAGUGAUGAAGGCCUUCGGUUGUAA